AGUUCCUCAAACUGCUCUGCUCACUCACCUCCUUCCCUCUGCCCUCUGAGACCCAGGGAGGUUAAAUCACUUGGUCACACAGCAAGUUAGAGGCUGAACCACGUUCAAGAGCAGAACACCAGGCUGGGAGCCCUCACGAUUCACCGCUGUGGUCAAGGAACGCAGUGCCUUGAGAAGACCACGUCCGGGACCUGUGACUUACCUUCUAUGGCAAAAGAAAAGAUGUGAUUAAGUGAAGGAUCUCGAGAUGCGCAGAUGAUCCUGGAUCAUCCAAGUGGGCUUGAUGUCAUAACAACAGUCCUUAUAACAGGGUCUGUCUAUCUCUUUCAGACAGAAGAUUAUGUGAUGACAAAGCAGAAGAACAGAGAGAAAGAAAUGUGAAGCUGUUAAACUGCCGGCUUUGAAGAUAGAAGAGUCAUGAGCCAAGAGAUGCAGACGGCCUCUGGACGCUGGAAAAGGCAAGGCAACCGAUUCUCCCCUGGAGCCUCCAAAAGGAACCAGGGAAUAAGUGAAACUGACUUUAGACUUCUGGGCACCGUAACUGAAAGAGAAUAUAUUUGUGUUGAUUUAAGCACCUACAUUUAUGGUGAUUUUUCACAGCAGCCACAGUGAAUGAAUGCAAAUACCGAACUCAGCUGCAGCAUGGUUCCUAUAAGAGCUGGCACUUGGAGGUACAUCAUUAAGCAGCGGGCACCUGCACCCUGUUGCAAGGGAUGCUGGGACCACGGAUGCAGAGAAGGUUCCACCUGGUCUGAAGGGUCAGGGAAGAACUUGCUCCAGCCUAGGAAAGGGAAAGGGAGGAUGCUGAACAGAGGGGCACUGAGUGCAAAGGCUGGGGCGUGAGAGAAAGCUCAGUCAUUUAAGGGGCUGAAGUGAUUCAGUGUGGCAGAAUUUGAAGGGAAAAUGGUAGAAGCCAUGUAGUACAGUAGAUAGGAGGGCAGGCCCUGUGAGUGCUUGGAUGUGAGGCCUGGCCUUGCUGUCUCCCAGCUGUGUGACUUGGGGUAAGUAACUUGAUCUCUCUGUGCCCUAUUUCCUCACCUGCUUGAUGUUUUUUGUUUUUGUUUUUAUGGCUGCACCUGCACCAUCUGGAAGUUCCCAGGCUAGGGGUUGAAACGGAGCUGCAGCCCCUGGCCUACCCCAGAGCCACAGCAAUGCCAGAUCCGAGCCUCAUCUGCAACCCACACCACAGCUCACGGCGGUGCUCGAUCCUUAACCCACUGAGCAAGGCUUGGGAUCAAACCUGCAUCCUCAUGGAUGCUAGUCAGAUUCGUUUCUGCUGAGCCAUGACAGGAACGAACUCUUUUUUUUUUUUUUUUUUUUUUUUUGGCCAUGCCUGUGACACACAGAACCCACACCAUAGCAGAGACCCAAACUGCUGCAGUGACAACGCUGGAUCCUUAACUCACUGCACUGCAAGAGAACUCCAUGUCUGAUGGUAUUUUGUGUGUAUGUUCCUUUUUUCUUUAUUUUUAAAAAUUUUUACAUAAAUUUUCAAGGUUACUUUCCAUUUGUAGUUAGUACAAAAUAUUGGCUCUACCUCCCCCUGUUGUACAAUACAUCCUUGAACCUGUUUUAUAAGCAGUAGUUGGCACCUCCUGUCCCCUAACCUCUAUGUUGCCCCACCCUCCCCUUGCCUGAUGGUAUUUACCUCACAGGGUUCUGUGAGGUUUAAAUACCUCUACAGCACUUGGAACGGUGUCUGGCACAGAGUAAGGGCUCAGUAAAUCUGUCAUCGAUGCCUCUCCAUAUCAACAGCGAGGUGGCUGGCUGUACCCUUCGGGUGGGGUGAGUGUACAGUCUAGGGCCACCCAAGGGGAGGCCCACAUCCUCUGACUGGGGAAGCAGAUCAGGGUCACCAGAGCAACAGUCCUGCAUUUUUGCUGGAAGUUCUGGGAAAGAGGAGCUCUCUCCCAGGUUGGACAGCCGAGGAGGACUGCCUGGAGCAGCUGGAGGGCAUCUUUAUGACCACGUGGGGAGAGCCUGCCUGAGAAGGAAGCCAGUAGGAUGGGAAGUGGGGGAGGCAGAGCCCUGGAGGCAAUGAGGCAGGUCUAGAAAGUGUUACCUAGGCCUCUGGAUCCAGACAUGCCUCAGUCACCCCCUUGGACUAUUGGACUAUCUGUUACAGGGAAAAUCAGUUCCUUUUUUGCUUUCAGAGUUUCAGCUGGGUUUUGGGCACCAGCAACCAGGAGAGUCCUGAUAGAUAGCUAUGUGCUCAGUAAACAUGCAUGGACUGGAGUUCCCUUAUAGCGCAGUGGGUUAAGUAUCCGGCAUUGUCAUUGCAGUGGCUUGGGUCCAAUCCCUGGCCUGAGAACUUCCACAUGCUGCAGGUGUGGCAAAAAUAAAAAAAAAAAACAAAAAACCAUGCAUGGACUGAGGGACUGAGUGAACCCUUUGAGUUUGGGGGGGUUGCCUAGGAUGGGCCUCACUGCCCCAUGGGACCAUGAGGACUUGCAGAGAUUCUGCACUUGGCCUGGGAAGGCACCUUCUCCAUUCUCCCCUUUGCAGGGUCUGGCAUCCGGAUCUAGGUUCUUUCCAAAAGAAGAUGAGGCUUGACUCAGGACAGGUGUGCAGGUGGCUGAAGCUUUGCUUUCCUCUCUCUGAACCAAACCUUCCCCAACAGGCGAGGUCUCAGGUUCUGCUUGGAGCCAGGAAAAUGAGAAAAGAGGCUGAGGGCUAAAGUCCUAGGAACAGCCCCAAGGGUGACACAAAUGCCUUUAUCAGUCCCGUUUUACAAAUGAAGACACUGAGGCCGAGAGGUAAAGUUACCUGUCCUCAAAGCUGGGGCCCAUCAAACGGAACUCAGAACUUGUUUCUUGUCCCCAAAUAUUGCUUCCUUUUCCUUAGCCAUUUUCUUUCUGGUAUCUGCAAAUUUUGUCUGGCUUCUUGCCCUCUCAAGUGUGCAUACUCUGAUUCCUUUUUUCUUUCUUUCUUUUUUUUUUUUUUUUUGUCUUUUUGGGGCUACACCAGUGGCAUAUGUAAGUUCCCAGGCUAGGGGUUGAAUCAAAGCUGCAGCUGCUGGCCUGCACCAACAGCAACACAGAAUCUGAGCUGCAUCUGCAACCUAUACCACAGCUCACAGAAACACCUGAUUCUUCACCCAUUGAGCGAGGCCAGGGAUCAGACCUACAUCCUCAUAGGUUCUAGUCAGAUUUGUUUCCACUGAGCCACAAUGGGAACUCUCUCCGAUUCCUUUUAAUUACUCACUCACUCAUUGCUCUUAGGUCACAAAGAAUGUCUGAGCAGACCUUGGCCUGCAUCUCUGCUCCACGUGUACAGCUGUGUGUAUCUUUGGGUCAGUGUCUUCACCUCUCUGGGCCUUGGUUCCUCCAGUUAUGGCAGUGGAGAUGGCAAAACCUGCUCUCAGCCUUUUUAUGAGGACUAUGUGAAUUAAUACAUGUAAAAUGCUUAAAACUGUAAGUCCUUUUGAAGUGUUCAAUAGGUGGCAGCUUUUAUCAUUCAUUUCUUUCAGAAACUGUAUCGUGUCCUAUUUCUUGGAAUGAAGUAGAGGAAAAUGGGUCCCCAAAUAAGCCAUUAACACUACUUGGGGAGUUCCCGUCAUGGUACAGUGGAAACAAAUCCAACUAGGAACCAUGAGGUUGCGGGUUCAAUCACUGGCCUCGCUCAGUAGGUUAAGGAUCUGGUGUUGCCGUGAGCUGUGGUGUAGGUCGCAGACUCGGCUCGGAUCCUGUGUUGCUGUGGCUGUGGUGUAGGCCGGUGGCUACAGCUCUGAUUAGACCCCUGGUUUCGGAACCUCAAAAGGCAAAAAGACAAAAACAAAACAAAACAAAACAAACACUACUUGGGAAACAGCAAUGUAACCUCUCUUUUCUCCUUUUGUUUUUUAAUUUUUUUUUCUUUUUCUUUUUUUUUCUUUUAGAGCCACACCUGUGACAAAUGGAGGUUCCCAGGCUAGGGGUCAAAGGAAUCCAAAGUACAGCUGCCAGCCUAUGCCACAGUCACAGCAACACAGGAUCCGAGCCAUGUCUGCAACCUACACCACAGCUCACAGCAACACCAGAUCCUCAACCCACUGAGCGAGGCCAGGGAUCAAACCUGCAACUUCAUCGUUCCUAGUCAGAUUUGUUUCCACUGUACCAUGACAGGAACUCCACUGCUUUUUAAUUUUGAAGUCUUUAUCUAUGUUGGCAGAUGAGCAGUAGCAAGACGGUGGGGUAUGGGGGACAGCUGGUGCUUCUUGCUUGCUAGGAUGGGGUCACCCCUCCCGUCUUUCCCCUCAUAGAGUGUACUGACUGGGGCAGCUGAGAGGCUGAGAAGCUGGCAGAACUUUGGCGUCUCAAGGUCUGGGGGAACCAAAAUUGGAGUGAGGUUCACCCAGGGUGGGAGUUCCUUGAUAAAAACCCUGGGCUUGAGGUGGAACUCCAAUAACUGUGAUUGAUGCAUUUGGGAAAUCAGAUGAGAAUUUUAGCAGAAAACUAGAAACUAUAAAAAAUAAUUAAAUGGAAGUCCCAGAACUGGAAAACACGAUAUUGGCAAUAAGACUUGUAGCUAUUAGAUCACAGGCUCUGAGCCACUGCCCAGGUUUAGGUCCCAGCCCCAGCCUCUACUAUUUAUAAUGUCAGUCCCUGUUUCUCUUUUAUUGAGGUGAAAUUCACACAACAUACGAGACAAUUUAAAGCGCACAAUUCAGUGGUAUUCAGUGUCUUUACAAUAUUCUACAAACCCCAGCUCUCUAGUUUUAAAUGUUUUCAUCACAUCUCAAAACACCCCAUAGCCAUUAAGUAGUCACUCCCCAUCUUCUUCGACCCUCCCCUGAUAAUCUCUAAUCCACCUUCUGUCUCUAUGGACUUCACUGUUACGGUUGUAUCAUAUAAAAUAAAACACAGGGUAUGGAAUUUCUGGCUUCUUUCACUUUACAUGUUUUCAAGAUUCAUCCAAGUUGUAGCAUGCAUCAGUAUUUCGUUCCUUUUUAUGGCCAAAUAAUAUUCUGUUUUUUGUUUUUUGUUUUUUUUUUUGUCUUUUUUGGGCCACACUCACAGCAUAUGGAAAUUCCCAUGCUAGGGGUCAAAUCAGAGCUGUAGCCAAAGACCUACAACAUAGCCACAGCAAGGCCAGAUCUGAGCCACCUCUUUGACCUAUACCACAGCUCACAGCAAUGCCAGAUCCUUAACCCACUGAGAGAGGCCAGGAAUCAAUCCUUCGUCCUCAUGGAUACUAGUCAGAUUCGUUUCCGCUGAGCCAUGAUGGGAACUCCCCAAAUAAUAUUCUAUUGCAUAGCUGUACCACAUUUUGUUUAUCCAUCAAUGGACAUUUGAGUUGUUUCUGUCUUUGACUAGUAUGAAUAAUGUUGCAUAAAUACUUGUGUACAAGUUUCUGUGUGCAUGGAUAUUUUCAUUUCUCUUGGGUAUAUACUUUGGUCUUGAAUGAGUCCUUGUUCUUUAACUUCUUGCUGCAGUUUCCUUGUCUGUAAAAUGGAGCUGGUGAUGGUACUUAAUGGGUAGUGUUACAUGAGACAAUUAGUGCAAAGUAGUUGCUAUAGAUCAGAGCUGUGGCCCAAUUAGGAAAGUAGGUGUUGACAUGUCUUUUUGUCCAGUGAGGUCACUGACUCCUGGAGGGCAGGGUCUGCUUGAUGUGUGUCUGCACCCCCAGUGCCUGGCAUUCAGCUGGCAUGAAGCAGAUAUUGAAUAACUGUUUCUGGAGUAUUUGGAAGUGAUUCUUUCUCAUGCAUGGCCUUGCUCUUCCCUUAGGCUCCGCCAGCACCACAAGGAGCAUGGAAAUUACUAGGCUUUUUCAAGUACUAAGGGAUAUGAAGCUCCUGGAAGUUGAAUAACUUAAUUAAUGGUAUAAGACUAAAGAGAAGCAGAAAUUAAAGUUCAAUCUAGCACCUCAAGCAAGGGUUUAUUCAUUUAUUCAGACAUCAAAUAUUGACUGAGCACCUGCUGUACACCAGGCAUGUUCUAGGCAGUGGUAUCUUCCUGAAUUAUUUGAGAAGACAAUAUAAACAAUAUAAAUAUGUUAUAUAGUGUAUCUAGGUGAUACACUAUCCACUCAAAGAUGGUAUGUGCCAAAGAGACAAGGCAGGAAAGGAGGACAAGGAGUCACAAGGGAGGGGUGAUGACUUAUUCAGGGUGGCCAGUGUAGACCUCACAGCCAACAGGACUUUUGAGUAUAGAUAUCAGGGAGUGAACCAUGUGCAUGUCUCUAACUGUAACUCAGGAUCCAGUUAGAAGCAGCUUUGGGAGUUCCCGUCGUGGCCCAGUGGUUAACAAAUCCGACUAGGAACCAUGAGGUUGUGGGUUCGAUCCCUGGCCUUGCUCAGUGGGUUGGGGACCCGGUGUUGCUGUGAGCUGUGGUGUAGGUCGCAGACUCAGCUUGGAUCCCGUGUUGCUGUGGCUCUGGAGUAGGCCAAUGGCUACAGCUCCGAUUAGACCCCUAGCCUGGGAACCUCCAUAUGCUGCGGGAGCGGCCCAAGAAAUGGC
rnacentral:lncRNA from 1 species